rnacentral:rRNA from 1 species
AUGCGGGGUACACGGUUACGUGAGCCAAGCCAUGUCAAUGCUCAAGCACCGCGCUGCUGCUGCCGUCUCUUGGCCACGGCCACGGCCACUGCGACACCGAGCAGGGCCACGACAGGAGCAACCAACAUGCCCCACGGGAACCUCGCACGCCGCAUGGGCCUCCGUCGUCCUCUCCCGCGACUGCGUCGCUUGCCCUUGCGGCUACCCUCCUCGCCGUUGUCCUCACCAGUGCUAUUACUUGAUUCGUCGCUGCCCUCGGAUGGCUUUGCCUCUGUUGGUGCAAUAGGUGGCUCCUCGACCAGUGUUGGGUCCACGGGAUGUGGCUCCAGCACUGGUGGCAGUUCCACGUGGAGUGGCUCCUCAACGGGCGCCGGAGAAUCCUUGGCAGGUGGUUUUGUAGCAGGCGUUGGCUUCUCAACCGAUGGUGGGUCAACGGGUGACGGUUCCACAAGCGGGUUGACUGGCGGAUAUUCGGCAGGUGACUCCUCGAUGGGUGAUGGUGGGUCCACUAGCGGAUAUUCGGCAGGUGACUCCUCGAUGGGUGGCGGUUCUACGAGUGGUUCGACCGGCGCUGAAGGCUCCUCGGCAGGUGGGUCCACCGGUUGCUCUUCGGUGGGUGGCUCCUCCAUGGAUGGCGGUUCCACGGGCGGGUCGGCCGGUGCCAGAGGCUCCUCAGCUGGUGGUGGCCCCUCAACCAGUGGCUUGGGCUCCUUGAUGACAUCGGGCGGCGUCUUGAUUGGCGGGUGUCGGGGCUCCGGCUCGAGCUCGACAUCACACGGGAUGUCGACCGACGGGUCUGCCACGUCGUCAGCUUAUGGGUCUCUUGCAGGGCGAGGUCGAGGUCCAUUGCCUAGCUCGUCGUGUGUGUGCAUCAUCUGUGGGCUGUGGCAGGGCGAAAUGCAAAGCUGGCUUGGUGUCGAUUGA